rnacentral:rRNA from 1 species
UUAUGAGAGUUUGAUCCUGGCUCAGGACGAACGCUGGCGGCGUGCCUAAUACAUGCAAGUCGAACGCUUCUUUUUCCACCGGAGCUUGCUCCACCGGAAAAAGAAGAGUGGCGAACGGGUGAGUAACACGUGGGUAACCUGCCCAUCAGAAGGGGAUAACACUUGGAAACAGGUGCUAAUACCGUAUAACAAUCGAAACCGCAUGGUUUUGAUUUGAAAGGCGCUUUCGGGUGUCGCUGAUGGAUGGACCCGCGGUGCAUUAGCUAGUUGGUGAGGUAACGGCUCACCAAGGCCACGAUGCAUAGCCGACCUGAGAGGGUGAUCGGCCACAUUGGGACGGAGACACGGCCCAAACUCCUACGGGAGGCAGCAGUAGGGAAUCUUCGGCAAUGGACGAAAGUCUGACCGAGCAACGCCGCGUGAGUGAAGAAGGUUUUCGGAUCGUAAAACUCUGUUGUUAGAGAAGAACAAGGAUGAGAGUAACUGUUCAUCCCUUGACGGUAUCUAACCAGAAAGCCACGGCUAACUACGUGCCAGCAGCCGCGGUAAUACGUAGGUGGCAAGCGUUGUCCGGAUUUAUUGGGCGUAAAGCGAGCGCAGGCGGGUGGAGUACACCUUUAGGUGUAUUGGUAGGAGAGCGUUCUAAGGGCGUUGAAGGCAGAUCGUGUGAGUGCAGAAGAGGAGAGUGGAAUUCCAUGUGUAGCGGUGAAAUGCGUAGAUAUAUGGAGGAACACCAGUGGCGAAGGCGGCUCUCUGGUCUGUAACUGACGCUGAGGCUCGAAAGCGUGGGGAGCAAACAGGAUUAGAUACCCUGGUAGUCCACGCCGUAAACGAUGAGUGCUAAGUGUUGGAGGGUUUCCGCCCUUCAGUGCUGCAGCUAACGCAUUAAGCACUCCGCCUGGGGAGUACGACCGCAAGGUUGAAACUCAAAGGAAUUGACGGGGGCCCGCACAAGCGGUGGAGCAUGUGGUUUAAUUCGAAGCAACGCGAAGAACCUUACCAGGUCUUGACAUGCCGAGAAAAGCUUCUAGUGAGAAAACAGCGGCCCGUACCGCAAACCGACACAGGUAGUCGGUCGUCAGCUCGUGUCGUGAGAUGUUGGGUUAAGUCCCGCAACGAGCGCAACCCUUAUUGUUAGUUGCCAUCAUUCAGUUGGGCACUCUAGCAAGACUGCCGGUGACAAACCGGAGGAAGGUGGGGAUGACGUCAAAUCAUCAUGCCCCUUAUGACCUGGGCUACACACGUGCUACAAUGGGAAGUACAACGAGUUGCGAAGUCGCGAGGCUAAGCUAAUCUCUUAAAGCUUCUCUCAGUUCGGAUUGCAGGCUGCAACUCGCCUGCAUGAAGCCGGAAUCGCUAGUAAUCGCGGAUCAGCACGCCGCGGUGAAUACGUUCCCGGGCCUUGUACACACCGCCCGUCACACCACGAGAGUUUGUAACACCCGAAGUCGGUGAGGUAACCUCUUGGAGCCAGCCGCCUAAGGUGGGAUAGAUGAUUGGGGUGAAGUCGUAACAAGGUAGCCGUAUCGGAAGGUGCGGCUGGAUCACCUCCUUU